GUUUCCUGUGUCCUAGUUCCUGCCUGAGUCUUCCUGUGUCUUCGUCGUCUUGGAUCUUCAAGCUACUCUGUAACAAGUAAUCUGGUCCCUGCGCAGGGGACAGAAUGAGGCCAGCGAGGACGGUGGCGAUGCCGGGGCUUUUGACCGAACCGAGCUAGAGCGCCGGUGGCCAGACGUGGCCAUCCAAUUUCUGCCGUCGUUCAUCACGGAUUCUCGCUGCUGGAUCACCUGAGCCAUGAAUGUCUCGUGACUGAGGAGGAGAAUGAUGUCAUGGUGACAUCACAACAGCACGCUUCACGAGUGACAUCACAGACAGAAGACUGGACCAGUGGACUACUAGACUGAUUAUUCACAUGACACAUUCCCACAGUUAUUAAAGUGAUAGCUCACACAGAAAUUAAAAUCCUGUCAUCACUUACAUAAACAGUUGGUGGUAGCCAUUAGCUUCCACUGUAUU